rnacentral:rRNA from 1 species
UACGUAGGUGGCAAGCGUUGUCCGGAUUUACUGGGCGUAAAGAGCGCGCAGGCGGUCGUCCAAGUCGCGUGUGAAAGCCCCCGGCUCAACUGGGGAGGGUCACGCGAUACUGGUCGACUCGAAGGCAGGAGAGGGUAGUGGAAUUCCCGGUGUAGUGGUGAAAUGCGUAGAUAUCGGGGAGGAACACCAGUGGCGAAGGCGACUACCUGGCCUGUUCUUGACGCUGAGGCGCGAAAGCUAGGGGAGCAAACGGGG